CUGUUAUACACCCAGACACAUUACUGGGAGUAUUAUUACUGUGGAGCUCUGUUAUACACUCAGACACAUUACUUGGGAGUAUUAUUGCUGUGGAGCUCUGUUAUACACUCAGACACAUUACUGGGAGUAUUAUUACUGUGGAGCUCUGUUAUACACUCAGACACAUUACUGGGAGUAUUAUUACUGUGGAGCUCUGUUAUACACUCAGACAC